CCUACGGGAUGCAGCAGGCGCGAAAACUUUACAAUGCACGAAAGUGUGAUAAGGGAAUCCUAAGUGCUCAGGCAUUGCCUGGGCUUUUGCCAUAUGUAAAUAGUAUGGCGAAUAAGUAGUGGGUAAGACUGGUGCCAGCCGCCGCGGUAACACCAGCGCUACGAGUGGCAAUCACGUUUAUUGGGCCUAAAGCGUCCGUAGCAGGUUUUGUAAAUUUUUUGUGAAACUGCCAAGCUUAACUUGGCAAUGUGCAGGAAACACUGCAAGACUUGAGACCGGGAAGGGUCGGAGGUAUUCCUGAGGGAGCGGUAAAAUGCUAUAAUCUCAGGAGGACCACCGGUGGCGAAGGCGUCCGACUAGAACGGAUCUGACUGUGAGGGACGAAAGCCAGGGGAGCAAACCGGAUUAGAUACCCGCGUAGUCC
rnacentral:rRNA from 1 species